UGUUCUUAAAUUCUUUCUCUUUUUUGCUUACUUUAACUCUUUAGUAUUUUAAUGUCAUUUUUUUUAAUAAUGGCCAUGAACACAACAAAGUAAAACCAGACUCCAGACUUUCUUAUUUUCCCCUUACUUAUUAAAAAUAUGUUUCUGUUUUCCCUCACCUUUCCCUCACAAACAAAAACCCGGCAUAUAUAGCAUCCAAAAACUAGUAUUUCUAUAAUGGUUAGGUUUUAAUUAGUGUGAAUAACCAAAUCAGGAAUGUUUAUGUAAAAUAUUUGCUAAUUCAAAUACUAAACCAUGUCUUACGUUACUUCAGUAUUCUGGGUUGCUGGAAAAAAAAAUUUUCACUCAUUCUUUAAUUCAGGAAUGGAGAAUGAAUGGCCCUCAAAAUGCUCUGGAUUACAGUUCCUUUGAACCCCUUGCCAUGGUGGCUGCAACUUCUAUUGUGCUGAAGGUUCCCCAACUCUUGCUGUAAUGAAUACAAAUACAUGCUUGGGGCCACAGCCAUGCCCCCAACUGCUCUUUCAGUGCCAGCUGAGCUGCUACCACGCUGGAAUACAACAACGCCCAGCCUAUUGCUGAAUAUUUUGCUCAAAAGGCCAGUGGGGCAGGUCACUUAGUUUGUUGCAAGAAAAACAACAAAGAGUCCUGUGGCAUAAAGUUUUGUUUGGCACAAAUUCCUGUGAACUCUAGCCGUGCUCGCCACAGGUAUCCUGUGUGUUAUGAAAUGGGCUGCGGUUCACAAAAACUUACACCACAUAAAGCUCGCUUGCCUUUAAAGUGUCGUGAGACUUCUUGUGGCAUUCAUUAAGCAGCUCUUUUUGCAUGGGGCAAAAUACUGUCUCUGUGAUUCCACUUUUUGGAACAGGAACACAUGCAUUGCAUGCUCCAUUUUCCACAGGCACGUAGCACCAGUGAAGUCAAAACACAGUAGUCUUGUAUUAUAUUUUUAUCAGUCAAGCGGCAAGUUCAUGUUUUAAUGAUAUGGAAUGCACCUGUUCUUUUGAGUGACCUUUAUUUAAGGUGGCUUUUUUUAAAAAAAAUGUUUCUUUUUAGAUCUGGUUGCUUGGUGUCCUGAAAUACAAAAUUGCUGGCUUGUCCUUUCUGUCAAAGCAGGUGUCUUCUGUGUUGCAAUGAAUGUGACUGUUCCUGGAACCAUUUAUUCCUUUGUGCUUAUACUGAGGACGUUUCCAAAUGAUCAGUUAAUAAUGCAAUGGAAAUACAGUUACCCAUGUCUUCUGCAGGAUACAAGCAUCUUGCUUAGGGAAAUAUUUUUGGUUAGAGAUAGCAUAUGUUCCCAGUCUUCAGCUUAUGGUUACUGUACUGUUAAAAAGAAAUUCUCUAUCCCUUGGACUGCCAUCUUAGCUCUUGGUAAUGCAUAUGUAUCAAGUUCCUAUUGGACAGUGCUAGUGACACCACUGGUGGUGAGGAACUAAAUUACCUUGUUAGCCCAUAGUGUGAGCCUGAGUGACACCAGUGCUCAGUCAAGAAAGAGGGGCACUUCAUGGGAGCUAAACUGAAUAUAAUUUCUGUCCUCCUGGACAGUGAGAUUUCAGACUUUCCUCUGAGACUUCCUGAUGGAAUUUUCCUUGACAUUUGAGACAAAUCUGUCUCAGCACAUUUGAUUAGUCCCUCUUCAUAGCAUGAGAAUUCCUUGCCACAUGCUGAAAAAUGCAUUGUUCAACUUUCUUAAAAACUGGACUAUAGAUACUUAUUUCACCUCUAUUAUAAGUGAACUGCUCCUUGCACUAUUACCUGUGAACUGGAAUAAGCCCUUGGUAUACCACAUAGAGAAACAACCUUGCAGUUAGAUCUCUGUGGCCUUUCCAGAGCACGAGUCUGAAAGAUUAUAUUUUCUUCCUUCUCAGCUCAGCUCUGUUAUGUCCAGCUAUACUGCCUGCACCUUAUUUAUUUUAAGAAUGACGUGGUAUUUAAUGGUGCACUAUUUUCACUGGAGUUUGAUCCUAAUGUUCAGAAUUAUUAGAAUGUUGUGUUUUCUUCUAGGAGAUUUAGCAGUGGUACAAGGUUUAUGUCUAUUGAUAAAUUUUUGUUAGUCUGGACCGUCACUAGAGCUAGUUUUCAAUGGGCAUGUUUUCUGAUGGCAAUAUGUAAAUGGGCAUCUUGUUGAAUAGGGAUACCUUUUCCCAUAAGGUACUGGGAUGUCCAUCCAUGUUAUGUGAUUAAACCUGUCAAUUGCUUCUGGAAUUGCAAAGAUCCCGUACAGAUUGUGUUAGAAAAACAGAUAAAUCUGUGGAUAAUUCUGGACUGUUGUAUGUAGGGAUCUUUAUUACAUUUUCAGUGGAGAUACUAAAGUAAUGAGAAUGUACUUUUUUUAAUGGGUGGAAAACAUCUUUGUUCAUUCUGACAAACAAAUGCAAUUAUGGUUCUGCA